GAUGAAGAACGUAGCGAAAUGCGAUAAGUAAUGCGAAUUGCAGAAUUCAGUGAGUCAUCGAAUCUUUGAACGCACAUUGCGCCCUGUGGUAUUCCGCAGGGCAUGCCUGUUCGAGCGUCAUUCCAACCCUCAAGCUCUGCUUGGUGUUGGGCCACGCCCUCGCGGCCGGCCCCAAAGCCAGUGGCGGCGCCGUCCGGCUCUAAGCGUAGUACAUCUCUCGCUCUAGGGCCCGGCGGCUGCCUGCCAGAACCCCAAACUCUUAUGGUUGACCUCGGAUCAGGUAGGGAUACCCGCUGAACUUAAGCAUAUCAAUAAGCGGAGGA
rnacentral:misc_RNA from 1 species